GUUGGGGAAANCGAUUUCCCUGGUACNCNAGGUANNNGCAUUGAAGUNGCCCCNCCUNGGGAGUACGGNCGNAANGAUUAAAACNCCAAGGAANUGACNGGGGACCCCGCACAANACGGUGNAUGAUGUGGAUUAAUUCGAGGCNACGCGAAAUAACCUCACCUACCCUUGACAUGNAACGAAACCCUGNCAGAGAUGUCGGGGGUGCCNGAAAGGGACCCGUAACACAGNUGGCUGCAUGGCNGUCGUCCAGNCUCGUGUCGUGAGAUGUUGGGUUAAGUCCCGCNANCGAGCGCAACCCUUGUCCCUAGUUGCUACGNCAAGGCNCACUCUAGGGAGACUGCCGGUGACAAACCGGAGGAAGGUGGGGAUGACGUCAAGUCCUCAUGGCCCUUAUGGGUAGGGCUUCACACGUCAUACAAUGGCCGGUANCAGAGGGUUGCCAAAGCGCGAGCUGGAGCCAAUCCCCAUAAAAGCCGGUCGUAGUCCGGAUUGCAGUCUGCAACUCGACUGCAUGAAGUCGGAAUCGCUAGUAAUCGCGGAUCAGCAUGUCGCGGUGAAUACGUUCCCGGGUCUUGUACACACCGCCCGUCACACCAUGGGAGCGGGAUGUACCAGAAGUAGGUAGGCUAACCGCAAGGGGGCCGCUUACCACGGUGCGUUUCGUGACUGGGGUGAAGUCGUAANCAAGGUACC
rnacentral:rRNA from 1 species